rnacentral:tRNA from 1 species
GUUAGCAUAGUCUUAAAUAAAGAUAUUAGAUCGUGGCUCUAAAGAUAGGGAUAUACAACCCCCCUUGCUGACA